rnacentral:rRNA from 1 species
UGGGGAAUAUUGCACAAUGGGGGAAACCCUGAUGCAGCGACGCCGCGUGAGCGAAGAAGGUUUUCGAAUCGUAAAGCUCUGUCCUAUGAGAAGAUAAUGACGGUAUCAUAGGAGGAAGCCCCGGCUAAAUACGUGCCAGCAGCCGCGGUAAUACGUAUGGGGCGAGCGUUGUCCGGAAUUAUUGGGCGUAAAGGGUACGUAGGCGGUCUAUUAAUUCAGGUGUGAAAGCGUGAGGCUUAACCUCAUUAAGCACUUGAAACUGAUAGACUUGAGUGAAGGAGAGGAAAGGGGAAUUCCUAGUGUAGCGGUGAAAUGCGUAGAUAUUAGGAGGAAUACCGGUGGCGAAGGCGACUUUCUGGACUUUUACUGACGCUCAGGUACGAAAGCGUGGGGAGCAAACAGG